rnacentral:rRNA from 1 species
GACGAACGCUGGCGGCGGGCCUAACACAUGCAAGUCGAGCGAGCGGCGGACGGGUGAGUAAUGUAUGGGGACUGCCUGAUAGAGGGGGAUAACUACUGGAAACGGUAGCUAAUACCGCAUACCAUCGGAUAAGCCAUAUGGGAUGAGCUAGUAGGGGAGGUAAAGGCUCACCUAGGCGACGAUCACUAGCUGGUCUGAGAGGAUGAUCAGCCACACUGGGACUGAGACACGGCCCAGACUCCUACGGGGGCAGCAGUGGGGAAUAUUGCACAAUGGGCGCAAGCCUGAUGCAGCCAUGCCGCGUGUAUGAAGAAGGCCUUAGGGUUGUAAAGUACUUUCAGCAGGGAGGCGUUACCCGCAGAAGAAGCACCGGCUAACUCCGUGCCAGCAGCCGCGGUAAUAC